rnacentral:rRNA from 1 species
GUCACGAGUUUGAUCCUGGCUCAGGAUGAACGCUAGCGGCAGGCUUAACACAUGCAAGUCGAGGGGUAUAGUUCUUCGGAACUAGAGACCGGCGCACGGGUGCGUAACGCGUAUACAAUCUACCUUUACAGAGGGAUAGCCCAGAGAAAUUUGGAUUAAUACCUCAUAGUAUUUUUGAAUCGCAUGAUUUGAUUAUUAAAGUUCCAACGGUAAAAGAUGAGUAUGCGUCCCAUUAGCUAGAUGGUAAGGUAACGGCUUACCAUGGCUACGAUGGGUAGGGGUCCUGAGAGGGAGAUCCCCCACACUGGUACUGAGACACGGACCAGACUCCUACGGGAGGCAGCAGUGAGGAAUAUUGGACAAUGGGCGCAAGCCUGAUCCAGCCAUGCCGCGUGCAGGAAGAAGGUCCUAUGGAUUGUAAACUGCUUUUAUACAGGAAGAAACACUCCCUCGUGAGGGAACUUGACGGUACUGUAUGAAUAAGGACCGGCUAACUCCGUG